rnacentral:rRNA from 1 species
GUAGGUGGCAAGCGUUGUCCGGAUUUACUGGGCGUAGAGAGCGCGCAGGCGGUCGUUCAAGUCGCGUGUGAAAGCCCCCGGCUCAACUGGGGAGGGUCACGCGAUACUGAUCGACUCGAAGGCAGGAGAGGGAAGUGGAAUUCCCGGUGUAGUGGUGAAAUGCGUAGAUAUCGGGAGGAACACCAGUGGCGAAGGCGACUUCCUGGCCUGUUCUUGACGCUGAGGCGCGAAAGCUAGGGGAGCAAACGGGAUUAGAUACCCCGGUAGUCCUAGCCGUAAACGAUGGACACUAGGUGUUGGUGGUAUCAACCCCGCCAGUGCCGAAGCUAACGCAUUAAGUGUCCCGCCUGGGGAGUACGGCCGCAAGGCUA